CCUAUGAGCUAAAUACCUAUCUCAUGCUUAUGAGCCAUGUAACUAACACUCUCCAAUAACAACAUUACAGUUGAAAUUUAAACAUAAACCAGUCAACACAUUUAUAUUUCAACAGUUUAGUGGCACCCCUCCCGGGUCAUUAGGACGCAUCUGAUUGUAGUUGCCGGGAGGUGGCCCAGAAUUGCAGUUGCUUGGCGAGGGAUUAUUGUAGUUGUUUGAUGGACCCAUGUUGGGAGGCGGCAUUGGAGCCCUGUUCGGGGGUGUAGGACCCAUGCUGGCAGGUUCAGGUCCCGAAUUUGGCCCAGCUUGAUUAGGCACAGGAGAUGGACCGCAAGAAGAAAAGGAGAGACAGAGACGGAAAAAAAAAUGACAAGCCAACGAAGGGAGGAUAACAUGGAACAAAGGCACGAAACAUAGUUCAGAGACUUGUGAGCGAAUCAAGCAGAGAACAAUAGAAGCAUUCAAAGACCCCAAGGUGAAGUCAUGUAAGAUUCAGUAAGUUUUAUGAUAUUUUCUUCGAAUAUUUGUGUGUUUGAAUUAGCAUAUAAGAUUCGAUCAACUAGUUUCUAAUGUUUUUCAGUGUUGUUUGUUCGCAUUUUACUGCAAUCUACUCUUUAUUCUUAAUAGCUUGACAGAAAGACUCUAAUAAAUGGUCAAGUUGCAUGUCACAUAUCUCACCUUUGGAGAAACUGGAUCUAGAGCUUGUAAAGAGAGAAAAUUCGAAAAGAAGUUUUGUUCGCAGACCAGACCAGAGCUACCAAAAACUGAAAAAUGGAAGUAGCUAUGGUAACCUCAUCCUUUGUUAGCAUGGACGGAUCCAUAUAGGGAACCGGGAGGUUCCGAGAUCCUCCGGAAGCCCGAAAAAACACUUGUGAUCGACCUUCGGGACCUUCCAACAAUUUGAGCAGGUGCAGCGGAGAGGCUUGUUGCCUCCAUGGAUGUGCAUACAGCAGUGCUUACAAAGAAGAAGAAGAGGUUUCUAAUUUUUGUUUUAAUCCUCCAAAUCGUCGCAACCUCCCAACUUUAAACUCAAGUUAUCCCAUCCCCCAGCACCAUUUGCCGUUCCACCACCUCUAGCUGCCUAAUUUUAUUUCUUCCAAAUUCAUUUAAGUUUAUUAAUCCUAGACUCUAGUCUCAACUCCCAAUUGUAAUAUAUAUGUUACAUUAACAAAUUUCAUCUUUGUAAAGUCAUUAAUUGAUGUGUUAUGUUGCUGAGGAGAA